GGUUCGAUGGCGUAGUCGGUUAUCGCAUCCGUCUUACAUGCGGCUCCAAAUUGUCAUGUAAGCGCACGGAAGGUCCCCGGUUCGAGCCCGGGUCGAGCCA